GACGAACGCUGGCGGCGUGCUUAACACAUGCAAGUCGAACGAUGAACGCUGGAGCCUGCUCCGGCUGGAUUAGUGGCGAACGGGUAAGUAACACGUGAGCAAUCUGCCCUUGACUCUGGGAUAACUCCGAGAAAUCGGUGCUAAUACCGGAUAUGACCCUUGGCGGCAUCGCUGGGGGUGGAAAGUUUUUCGGUCAAGGAUGAGCUCGCGGCCUAUCAGCUUGUUGGUGAGGUAAUGGCUCACCAAGGCGACGACGGGUAGCCGGCCUGAGAGGGUGACCGGCCACACUGGGACUGAGACACGGCCCAGACUCCUACGGGAGGCAGCAGUGGGGAAUAUUGCACAAUGGGCGCAAGCCUGAUGCAGCAACGCCGCGUGGGGGAUGACGGCCUUCGGGUUGUAAACCUCUUUUAGCAGGGAAGAAGCGAAAGUGACGGUACCUGCAGAAAAAGCACCGGCUAACUACGUGCCAGCAGCCGCAGUAA
rnacentral:rRNA from 1 species